UGGAAAAAAAAGGAGUGGUCCAUGUACAAAAUGGAAUAUUCGCCAUGGAAAACAAUGAAACACUGCUCUUUGAGGCACCAUAGUUGAUCCUGGAGAUAAUCACAGAACAUGAGGAAUGGAAAAAAGCUGAACAUCAGGAAUUAAUAAAGCCAUGCAAAUCCAGUGUACAAAAACUUUCACCUCACAGCCUUCAGGAUGAUCAUCAGCAAAAAAAAAGUCUACAAAGAAUAAAUGCUGAAGGGGUUUUAGAGAACUGUGUACCCUUUAGCUGCUGGUGGGAUGUAACCUGGAAACAGCCAGUAGUGAGAACAGAAUGGAGGUGCGUUUAAGGGUAAAAAUGGAGCUACCAUGUGAUCUGGUAGGCCCACUAAUGGGCCUAUCACAUGAGUAGACCAGAAUCAAAAAGACACAGGCUGGCAAUCCUGCACUGCAGCAACAUGUACCAUAGCCAAGACCUGGAAGAAACCAAAAUGUCCAUCAACAGAAAAAUGCACCAAGAAGAAGUCGUCCAUGUACACAAUGGAAUAUUAGCCAUGAAAAAGCAUGGAACAGUGCCGUUGGCACCACCACAGAAGGAUCUACAGAUAAUCACCCAACUUGAAGUAAGAAAGAAACCGAAAGACAGACAUCCUAUGACAUCACUUACAGGUGUUACCUAAAAAUUGAUACCCAUGAAAUAAUUUCCAAGAGAAGGACACACAUAGAUUCAGAAAACCAAAUGGAAAGGUGUAAGGAAUGUAUGAAUUAGGAUAUGGGGGUUAACAGACAUGUACUAAUACAUAUGAAAUAUAUAAUCACACAAUACCUAUGGAAUACAAAGAGAGGUCUACUCAACACUCUAUAAUAUACACGGGAAAGGAUCCAAAGAGGAAUAGACAGAUACAUUGAUAGGAUGAAUCAGAAACUGUACACCUAGGAGAAUCUACAUUUUUAUCAAAUUUGCUCUGAUAAUUAAUAAAAAUUAAAUUUAAAAAGCAAACAAUUUAGGAUAUAUAUGCUCUUGGGGCUUUGCGCUGGCACAUUCCACUCUAAUUUGCUGCGUACUAACACAAUUUCCAGGAAAGCUCUGUUGCCCAAAAACCCAGAGUUGGAAAUGUAGAAAUGCUGCCGCCUUGUGGCCGUUUCCCACAAGAGCGGCUUUAAACCCACAGCUAAUGGUCACUUAACAUUAGAAGGACUCACGGCUGUAAAGGACACCUGCCCUAAACAACUGUGCGGAGGUAGGGAAUGGCCAAAAAAAUUCAAAACUGCAAAUUUUUCAAGAAAAUAAUAUGAAGAGGUAAAUUUGGCUCACUCUCUUUUAAAAAAAGGAAAAUGGAUAAAAAGCUCAACCUUGGUAAUUAUUAGACUCGUGCAAAUCUACUCUACAAAAAGGUUUCAACUCACACCAGUCAACUGGCCAUCAGCAAAAAGACUACAAACAAUAAAUAUUGAAGGGGUUUUAGAGAACACUGUACCCUCUAGCUUCUGGUGAGAUGUAAAGUGGUAACAGCCAAUAAUGAGAACAGAAGGGAGCUAUAAUUAAAAUAAAAAUUGAGGUACCAUUCAAUCCAGCAGUCACACCACUGGGCCUCUCACAUGAGACCUGAAUCGAGAAGACCCGGGCUGCAAAAUCUGCACUGCAGCCUUAUUCACAAUAGCCAAGACAGUGAAGCAACCAAAAGGUCCAUCAACAGAUGAACAGAUAAAGAAGAAGUGGUCUAUUUAUACAACAGAAUAUUAGCCAUGGAAAACAAUGAAACACUGCUAUUUGAGGCACCAUAGAUGAGCUUGGAGAUAAUCACAGAACAUGAGGUUCCUUCGCCGGCGCAUGGAGGAAGUCUCUCGGGUGGCCACAAACCAAAUGUUCCUCGGUCCUUACACCUUGCUUCCUAUAGAAACCCCCACUGGUCUCCCCUAAGCCUCGGACCUCUGGUCGCCCGACUCCCCUUUCGACGCCCCCAUUCAGCAUGAAGUAGCCAGAGAUCGGAACGCCGCCCCAUUACACCAAAGAUGUCGGGAUGUAAGGCCAACUGGCCCGAGGCAGGGGAACGCAAUCAGAUUCACAGGUUGCAUCAGACCGAAACUCUCCGGACCACCCAGUUCCAGAAACUGACCUGGAGACAUUCCGGACCACCCAGUUCCAGGAACUGACCUGGGGGCUUUCUACCCGGCCCAGCCUUCCCGCCUUUCGAGGGACGGGACUAGCGUAACCCGCACCAGAUAGUGCCACGACACCCGAAGAGACCACCAGAUAAGGAAUACCCUGCGCCCUCCCAGAUUCACCACACCCCUUUCCCUUCUUCCCCUAUAAAAUCUUGCCCAGCCCUCGCCCGGGGGCGACUUCUCUGGCCCCUUUCUCUCGGACCAGUGAACCUCGCCCGGGAGCGCCCCCUAAUAAAGCUCACUUGAAGCGUU